AGGAUAUUAGUUAAAAAAUAACAAUUAAAUUGCAUUUAAUAAUUAAACAAAUUUAUAUCUUA
rnacentral:tRNA from 1 species